GCCAAAGUAGCUCAGUGGAGAAAGUAUCAGACUAAAUAUCUAAAGGUCACUGAUUCAAUCCCAGGCUUUGGCA
rnacentral:tRNA from 1 species